rnacentral:rRNA from 1 species
UGACGUUAGCGGCGGACGGGUGAGUAACACGUGGGUAACCUACCUAUAAGACUGGGAUAACUUCGGGAAACCGGAGCUAAUACCGGAUAACAUUUGGAACCGCAUGGUUCUAAAGUGAAAGAUGGUUUUGCUAUCACUUAUAGAUGGACCCGCGCCGUAUUAGCUAGUUGGUAAGGUAACGGCUUACCAAGGCGACGAUACGUAGCCGACCUGAGAGGGUGAUCGGCCACACUGGAACUGAGACACGGUCCAGACUCCUACGGGAGGCAGCAGUAGGGAAUCUUCCGCAAUGGGCGAAAGCCUGACGGAGCAACGCCGCGUGAGUGAUGAAGGGUUUCGGCUCGUAAAACUCUGUUAUUAGGGAAGAACAAAUGUGUAAGUAACUGUGCACGUCUUGACGGUACCUAAUCAGAAAGCCACGGCUAACUACGUGCCAGCAGCCGCGGUAAUACGUAGGUGGCAAGCGUUAUCCGGAAUUAUUGGGCGUAAAGCGCGCGUAGGCGGUUUCUUAAGUCUGAUGUGAAAGCCCACGGCUCAACCGUGGAGGGUCAUUGGAAACUGGGAAACUUGAGUGCAGAAGAGGAAAGUGGAAUUCCAUGUGUAGCGGUGAAAUGCGCAGAGAUAUGGAGGAACACCAGUGGCGAAGGCGACUUUCUGGUCUGUAACUGACGCUGAUGUGCGAAAGCGUGGGGAUCAAACAGGAUUAGAUACCCUGGUAGUCCACGCCGUAAACGAUGAGUGCUAAGUGUUAGGGGGUUUCCGCCCCUUAGUGCUGCAGCUAACGCAUUAAGCACUCCGCCUGGGGAGUACGACCGCAAGGUUGAAACUCAAAGGAAUUGACGGGGACCCGCACAGCGUGAGCAUGUGUUUAUCGAGCACGCGAGACUACAAAUCUGACAUCUUUGAAACUCUAGAGAUAGAGCUCCCUCGGGGGACAAAGUGACAGUGUGCAUGCUGUCGUCAGCUCUGUCGUGAGAUGUUUGGUUAAGUCG